AGAGCGAACGCUGGCGGCAGGCUUAACACAUGCAAGUCGAGCGGGCAUAGCAAUAUGUCAGCGGCAGACGGGUGAGUAACGCGUGGGAACAUACCUUUUGGUUCGGAACAACACAGGGAAACUUGUGCUAAUACCGGAUAAGCCCUUACGGGGAAAGAUUUAUCGCCGAAAGAUUGGCCCGCGUCUGAUUAGCUAGUUGGUGGGGUAACGGCCCACCAAGGCGACGAUCAGUAGCUGGUCUGAGAGGAUGAUCAGCCACAUUGGGACUGAGACACGGCCCAAACUCCUACGGGAGGCAGCAGUGGGGAAUAUUGGACAAUGGGCGCAAGCCUGAUCCAGCCAUGCCGCGUGAGUGAUGAAGGCCCUAGGGUUGUAAAGCUCUUUGUGCGGGAAGAUAAUGACGGUACCGCAAGAAUAACGCCCGGCUAACUUCGCGCCAGCAGCCGC
rnacentral:rRNA from 1 species